rnacentral:tRNA from 1 species
GCGAGUAUAACUCAGUUGGUUUUAGAGUGUUAGAUUGUGGUUCUAAAAGACACGGGUUCAAAUCCCGUUAUUCGCC